UACGGAGGGUGCAAGCGUUAUCCGGAUUCACUGGGUUUAAAGGGUGCGUAGGUGGGUCUGUAAGUCAGUGGUGAAAUCUUCCGAGCUUAACUCGGAAACUGCCAUUGAUACUAUAGAUCUUGAAUUUUCUGGAGGUAAGCGGAAUAUGUCAUGUAGCGGUGAAAUGCUUAGAUAUGACAUAGAACACCAAUUGCGAAGGCAGCUUACUACGGGACAUUGACACUGAGGCACGAAAGCGUGGGGAGCAAACAGG
rnacentral:rRNA from 1 species